GUGGCCUACGACGGACCUAUCGCCCGAAUGGCUGAUCGCGCUGUCACCACAGCAGCUGGUGCGCGCAGCGGCUAUUCUGGCAAACGACGCACCUUGGCUUUGGUAUAAGAGCCCUGUCUGGAUGGAGCCGCCAUCACUUCAGAGCGAUCCAUGCAGCAAGUAGCACCUGCCCUGUACUAAACCCGGACCUUGCAUCUUUGCAGGGGGGCGGAAAAAACUGAAGCACGACGCACUGCCAACAUUGAACUUGCCGCAGCGCAGAUUUGACAAGCAAAAGCUGCCUCGCAAGCCACCGGCAAAGAGAGCCCCUGUUUCAAGGCAAUCAAGGAUGCCAGGAAGCAUAGCCGACGAUGUUGCAGGUCAUGUCUCUGUUCAUGAAGAAAAUCCUGCUGAGGAGACUGCGUACGAAGUGCCACAAGAUGAUAUCCUGGAACAGUUCACCGAGAUUGUGUGUGCACAAGCUGGCACACUAUGGGACGCAUUUGUACAAGCGAGUCAUCUCCCGGUCAUUGGCUGCCCCAAGCCUCUCCUUUCAUGUGCGGUUGGGUAGACAGACGACACCAUCAAAGUGCUCACAAGAUUGUCAUGCCUGCAGCUGUUGAAGAAUAUAAUUGAUCAGUUCGCUGCCUUGCGCAGAGUAUCCAUUCCGAGAGGUUUUGCAUUAAGGGACGAAGAUACCGUGCUGAUGGUUCUUGUGAAACUCUACCACAACAUAAGCUUCAGCUUUUUAUCUGUUCUUUUUUCCAUAGACAGAACAACUGCAUCGAACAUUUUUAAGAAUGCCAUAUGAAUUCUUGCAAAUGUACUUGGAGAGGCGGUGUUUUUCCCUUGCUAAGAGUUAGUCCUGGAAAACUUGAUAAUUUAUUUCAAGGAAUACAAGGAAACUCGCAUUGUAUUAGACUGCACAGAGGUGGCCCUUGAAAGACCAGGUGACUUCAGAUCGCGACUGCUUACAUACAGCCACUACAAACGCCAGUACACAAAGUGUUGACUGGCGUUGCUCCAAGCGGCAUGAUAACAUUAGUUGGGAAAGCGUUUGGAGGUCGCGCUUCAGACAGGCAACUCACAGCCCACUGAAAUGUACUCAUCAAAUGCGCGGCAUAUGUCGACCGUGUUAUGGUUGACAAAGGUUUCUUGAUAGAGAACCUUUGCGACAAGGCCAGGGUUAGUAUGGACAGGCCCCCUUUUUUAAAGAAAAGGCAACAGCUUGAAGAACAUGAAGCAAACAAAAAUCAAGCGAUUGCAAGAGCAAGACUACAUGUUAUAAGAGCCAUUUAACUUGUGAAAUCCUUCAAAAUUCUUCAACAGAGGUACCCCAUUCAGCUCCUUCCUGCGUUUGACAAAGUCAUCCUGUUGCUUGCUGGCAUAGUAAACUUAUCAAGGCCAAUUUUGGGUGAAGACAAGUUUCUAACAAAUAUCUAAAGAGUGCACAAAGUUGAAAGAAACGCGAAAUAAUACCAGGUGUGUUAUAUUGUUGCCAAAUCAAUACGUUCAGUGGUCACUAUAGUGCAGAAAGCACAAAGAGAUAAACAAAGUGCCGACGUGAACAAAUAAUUUUGAAAAUUGCCUUUCACCCU